rnacentral:rRNA from 1 species
GGGCGGGGGCACGGGGGGAACGCGAAGAACCUUACCUGCUCUUGACAUCCCGCUGACCGGACGGUAAUGCGUCCUUUCCUUCGGGGCAGCGGAGACAGGUGGUGCAUGGUUGUCGUCAGCUCGUGUCGUGAGAUGUUGGGUUAAGUCCCGCAACGAGCGCAACCCCUAUCUUUAGUAGCCAGCGGCCAGGCCGGGCACUCUAGAGAGACUGCCGGGGAUAACCCGGAGGAAGGUGGGGAUGACGUCAAAUCAUCAUGCCCCUUAUGAGCAGGGCUACACACGUGCUACAAUGGCGUAAACAAAGGGAAGCGAGACCGCGAGGUGGAGCAAAUCCCAAAAAUAACGUCACAGUUCGGAUUGUAGUCUGCAACUCGACUACAUGAAGCUGGAAUCGC